UACGUAGGGGGCAAGCGUUGUCCGGAAUCAUUGGGCGUAAAGCGCGCGUAGGCGGCCCGGUAAGUCCGUUGUGAAAGUCAAAGGCUCAACCUUUGAACGCCGAUGGAUACUGCCGGGCUAGAGUCCGGAAGAGGCGAGUGGAAUUCCUGGUGUAGCGGUGGAAUGCGCAGAUAUCAGGAGGAACACCGGUGGCGAAGGCGGGUCUCUGGGCCGAAACUGACGCUGAGGAGCGAAAGCGUGGGGAGCAAACAGG
rnacentral:rRNA from 1 species